rnacentral:lncRNA from 1 species
UGUGUAUCAAGGCAAAGUCAUUGUCAGGGAAUCCUUGUCCUGUGAAAGUCUGAUGGAGGUGAAUUAUUAUGCAUGUAUGUAGUUUUAAAUUGGAAUUUCAUCAAGAUGAAAAGCCAUUUUUAAAUAUGAAAGUAUGCAACAUUUGUGUGUUGGUGAAAUGCAUGAAAACAAUAUUUAUAGCUGUGAUUUUGUAGUAGUUUCUAUCUGAGAUUUUUUUGUUAUAUGUGAAAAAAAAAAUUAGUAGCCAAUAGCAAACAGUUCACUCUGACUGAAUCUUAGUUACUUAGGAUAGUCUGUCCAACUUUGCCCCAGGAUAUCAUUUGAAUUGUCUCCUAAAGGAGGGAAUCAAAACCAUCAUACACAAACAUGAUUGGAGUCUCAAACAAUUUUGUAAUCUAAAAUGUAUUUUUCAGUUUAAAACAAAAUUCCUUAUAUAUAUAUAUAUAUAUAUAUAUUUAUAUAUAUAAAUAUAUUAAAAAUGUACAAGGCAGAAAAAGUGGUAUGAUAUGAUUGAAUCACUGGCAUGAAUGAAACAAUUUCUGAGAUUGUUUUCAUCUUUUAUUUUAAAUAGGUAUCACACAGGUUUUCAAUGAUGUUUGCUUUUUUUGCAGGGACUUUGAAGGCAUUGCAAACAAUCCUGAAAUAGUUCAGCUCAAGGAAGACUUCAGUAUUGUGCGGCCCAUAUGUGAAGGAUGCAUUGGCAGAGGAAUGAAACCUGCGACCAGGAAUGCCAAAAAAGUUAAAAAGUCC